GAGAGUAUAGCUCAGUGGUAGAGCGCACGCCUAGCAUGCUCGAGGCCCUGGGUUCAGUCCCCAGUACUGCUG
rnacentral:tRNA from 1 species